AUACGGAGGGGGUUAGCGUUGUUCGGAAUUACUGGGCGUAAAGCGCACGUAGGCGGACUGGAAAGUUGGGGGUGAAAUCCCGGGGCUCAACCCCGGAACUGCCUCCAAAACUUCCAAUCUCGAGAUCGAGAGAGGUGAGUGGAAUUCCAAGUGUAGAGGUGAAAUUCGUAGAUAUUUGGAGGAACACCAGUGGCGAAGGCGGCUCACUGGCUCGAUACUGACGCUGAGGUGCGAAAGCGUGGGGAGCAAACAGGAUUAGAUACCCUAGUAGUCC
rnacentral:rRNA from 1 species